CCUACGGGUGGCAGCAGUGGGGAAUAUUGCACAAUGGGGGAAACCCUGAUGCAGCGACGCCGCGUGAGUGAAGACGUAUUUAGGUAUGUAAAGCUCUAUCAGCAGGGAAGAAAAUGACGGUACCUGAUUAAGAAGCCACGGCUAACUACGUGCCAGCAGCCGCGGUAAUACGUAGGGGGCAAGCGUUAUCCGGAUUUACUGGGUGUAAAGGGAGCGUAGACGGUGAUGCAGGUCAGGAGUUAACGCCCGGGGCUCAACUCCGGGACUGCUUUUGAAAAGGUGUGACUGGAGUGCAGGAGGGGUAAGCGGAAUUGCUGGGGUAGCGGGGAAAUGCGUAGAUAUCAGGAGGAACACCAGUGGCGAAGGCGGCUUACUGGACUGUAACUGACGUGGAGGCUCGAAAGCGUGGGGAGCAAACAGGAUUAGAUACCCGGGUAGUC
rnacentral:rRNA from 1 species